GACGAACGCUGGCGGCGUGCUUAACACAUGCAAGUCGAACGGAAAGGCCCUGCUUUUGUGGGGUGCUCGAGUGGCGAACGGGUGAGUAACACGUGAGUAACCUGCCCUUGACUUUGGGAUAACUUCAGGAAACUGGGGCUAAUACCGGAUAGGAGCUCCUGCUGCAUGGUGGGGGUUGGAAAGUUUCGGCGGUUGGGGAUGGACUCGCGGCUUAUCAGCUUGUUGGUGGGGUAGUGGCUUACCAAGGCUUUGACGGGUAGCCGGCCUGAGAGGGUGACCGGCCACAGUGGGACUGAGAUACGGCCCAGACUCCAACGGGAGGCAGCAGUGGGGAAUAUUGCACAAUGGGCGGAAGCCUGAUGCAGCAACGCCGCGUGCGGGAUGAUGGCCUUCGGGUUGUAAACCGCUUUCGCCUGUGACGAAGCGUGAGUGACGGUAAUGGGUAAAGAAGCACCGGCUAACUACGUG
rnacentral:rRNA from 1 species